rnacentral:tRNA from 1 species
UAGAAGGAAGCUCGCCGGUUGGAGUUUUUAGCUGUUAACUAAAAUUUUGUGGGAUCAAGGCCCGCCUUUCUAG